GAAGAAGCCAGCGACCAGUUAGCACUCUGCAAUAGUAAUAGAAAUGUCAGUUCUUACAACCCAGCUGUACGUCAUUCAGGAGGCAUACGUAAGCAUAUACUCUGUGUAAAUAGCCCCACUGACUUCAGUAAAAUUGCAAAAGUUUAAUUAGGCUGUACUAAUUGUAUUUGUAAAUCUGACCUUUUAGCUUCCAGUUCAACAACAUUUUAAAAUACGUAUUAAAACUGAUUUCAGAGCGCUUAAAGUUGCAUACCUCAUUCAGGUUCUACUUGGAACAGUAUUUCAAAACACUGAAAAAAAUUGAAUCAAACAUGUGGCAGUGUAAAAAUUGAGCUGACAGUUUUCCAGUCCUAACAAAAAGUAAUCAGUUAAUCAUUAGCACAAAGACGUAUCGAUUCCACUUUCCAGCUUCCAUGAUUCAGCAGCAGUACUGAAGGUCAGUCUCUCUCUAUUAAUAUUUAAACAGCCAAGAGAAGCUGAAAGGAGAAGCUUAGAUGCUCACAGAUUCUUCUGGAGAUUCAACUUUUAAAACACAACGCACAAAAAAAGCCGAUUUUGUUUUAUUUUCAUUAAUUAAACGAAUAGAAAUAAUGAAAUAGCAUAAGCUGAAAACGGUGCUCAGAAUUCCUGUUUUUUUUCUAUUGAGAAACAUUUCAAAGUAGAAGCAGAGAUUUCUUUUACUGAAAUGUAAACAGUUUGAAUAGAGCCCAGAAUUUCCUGUGAUAAAAAAAAAAAAAAAAUCAAUCUGAAACAACACCAUCGGCUUUCCCACAGUAGGCGUGCAGAGCCAAGCCUCCCGAAUUCAGACAGAGAGAGAAUGUAUUUCCCCCUGUCUGUAAAAACCAUGACUGAGCGCUCUUCACAGGAGGGUACAUCAGUAAGCCUGGGUAAACUGCAGACAGUGCUGCUAGACAUCCAGCCCGUACCAAGGCAGCCCCUUUGCAGGUAGGAUGAACACAGAAAUAGAGCCAAAUUCAGGAUUCUGACGUCAGAAAGGCCUGAAAUACUUGUGCCGAUUUUCCAAUCCUUACAAUUCCACCUGUUCUUCUCUGGCAUCUGCUCUUUCAGUUGCACAUUUGGUUGUGAAAAAAUGGCUAUUUUAUACAUGCACAGCGCCGGAAAGCCAGUGGGAAACUCAUUGUGGCCAGCAGUGUAAAUGAAGUGCUCGAAGAACACGUCCCUUUGCAAAUGAAACAAGUGCUGAGCAGCGUGUGUACGCUGGUUGCUUAGCGACGGGCUGUCCUUGGGCCCUGCUGCUGCUGCCCCGCUCCUUUGGGACUGUCAUCGCAGACCUGCUUGGAAAUGACAUGUUUGGAGAGGAUGCGGGAGGCGGUGGUUCUAUUUUUUGUGUGGUAUUAAAUGAUUAAACCUUUUCUAUUGAAUUAGCCUGUUCUUCGCAGAACUUAAUGCUCUUCUGAAGCUCCAGAGAACUCAGAAUUUAGUGGAAGUGGAAAGGUUUCCCUUCUGUGGGGAAUAAAAACAAUGGUUAUCACGGCUCUUCUAAUGAGAGUGUCUAUGCGGCAAUUUCCACGUGUAGUUCUCAGAUUGCUACACCAUGGACAUUAUUUCUGUGAGGUAAGCACUAGAGUACAUAACUGAGCUACACCAGGAGGACGUGUCCAGCCACAGUUGCACCAGUGAAGCCCUUAACAAGAACGUAUCCAGGCAGUGAGUGGCAUUAUGAUUCCCUGUUCUCAAACACCAACUACAAAGCAAUCCAGGACUGUCCAAACAAAGGCUUGCACAGCUGGCUGGGUCGGGAUGUCUGCAUUUCACUUAGGUAUAUCCAUAGAAUGCAAGAACAGAGGUACACAGGUCUCCAGUUAGAGAUGACAUCAGCUCAAGAUGAGAUCAUAGAACAGAAUCAUAGAAUCCUUUGAGUUGGGAGGGACCUUUAAAGGUCAUCUAGUCCAAAUCCCCUGCAAUGAACAGGGACAUCGACAGCUAGGUCAGGCUGCUCAGAGCCCAGUCCAGGCUGACCUUGAAUGUUUCCAGGAACAGAGCAUCCUGUUCCAUUGCUUCACUACCCUUAUUGUGAAAGGGUGGUGACAGAAGAGUAAAAGGGUAUUGGAAAAGGGUAGUGACAGCACUACCCUUAUUGUGAAAAGGUAAUGACAACAGUGCUAGUGUAUUGAUCAUUAAAUACAUUAUUUUCCAACAAUUUUAAGUUUUAUUAUUCAAAACCCUUUGCAGAAAUAACUGGAAGAGCUUCUGUUUAGAGACACAGCAGAGCUGAUGCUGGUCAGUGUCUGAGUCAGUUUAGUCUCGCAGAGAAAUGAGGUUUUUUCAUUCAGACAUUACACUGUACUGAUGCAUCUGAUGCUUCGAAGACCUAAGCUAUCAAAGUGCUGUGGAAGCUUCAUGGUUGCAAAAGCUCAGGAUGGUGCUCACCAGUUAGUCUCUCUAUUACAUCUGCCACAGCCAUCGCAGUUAUGUCACUGCAAUUUAUAGUGCAGAGGUGGCCAGGGCUGCUGCUGCCUUUGGCAGGGCGCUGCAUUGCUCUGUGAGCACUAGGCUAGCAGGAGUUCUGAUGAAUCACACAGUGCUGAAAGCAAACAAUGCGUCCUGUGCCAAAUUCCUGACCACUACCGUGUUCUCUGCCACAUAAUCUUAGCCUUAAUAAAUUCUCAUUAAUUUCCAGGUUUCUAAAAAAUACUAAAUUUUGGAACUCAAAUGGUGUUCCAAAUAAAAAAAAACAUAUUACCACCUUUCAAACGAUAUCAUUAUUUUCUUAAUACACUAAAAUUGCAAAUCUGCAAUUAACACUUAGCAUAUAUUUACCAUGUAUUGAUACGUUCUAUCAAAUAUGAUAAUAAAUAAAUAUUUCCCCAAACCUGAGAACAAGUAAAACAGAGUUUUCAUUUUUUCCUCAAAUAAAAGAGACUCUAUUUAAGCAUGCUUCAGGACAAGUGUCACUCUUGUACAGUGAGAGCAGCCAGCCAGAUACCGGUAGUGUAAAUGCGGUCCAGGAAGAACAGAUGGAAUGAAAUCUACAGCUACUGAUCUAAAAAACUCGUACUUUUCAAGUGAAUACCCCACGGUAACAUCUGAGAUCGAUAGAUUCAUCUAGAAGGUGGUGUCUAAGACAAAUAAGUAAAAACAAAUCAGUGCCAAAUGUUGUCUUUCAACUUCAUUCCUCGUGCGUUAGCUCCUCAGAUCCCCACCUUGCUCUCCUUCCAGAGGCCUCUCUAUGCCACUGCUGGAGGAUGUCUGCAUUUUGGGGGUAAGAACGGGCUUUUCAGAAAUGUUAUUGCUUCAGAAGGAAGACAAAGAACCAAAGGAAAAACAUACAAGUAUCUGAAUUUGUACUACUGCUUCAACAAAUUGCUACCCCUGCAAAUCCUGGUGACUCUUACAAAUAACAGUGUGAUUAAUAAAUUAAUUACCCCAAGGCCAAAUUCAUCGCUGACUAGAAAACCUUGGUGGACUGAUGUAAUGCAACGGCUGAUUUAGAAUGAGCAUUGCAAUUUGAAUUAUUUUCCCAACUUUCAUACUUAGUUUUCCUCCCAGGAAAAGGAAGGUGUUGCCUUCUUCCAUUGUAACUACAUUAGCCCUAGCUGUCAGUGUUGUUUGCCUUCUGCGCUAUUACUAGAGAAGAUCCACGAUUUCCCGGCUGUGUUGAAGUGUGUUUUCCUAAUUCACUUAAUCUUUUUCAGUAAAUAAAGGGAAAAAAAAUCAAGAAAUUCUACUUUCUGGGUUAUAGCUAUAGCCUGGAGAGUACUGCAGAUACAUCAAAGAGCAUGUGUUUGCUUCUGAGUGUGAGGGGCAUGAACAAAGCCACUUCCUCAAUUAGACGCAUUUUGCCUUUCAAGACAUUGCCACUUAUCACAACCUUCUAUUUCAUACCAACUUCUACAGGAUCUAAAAAUAUUGCAGGUGUUCUAGAAGAACUCUGUUAUAAUUAAUCCUUUAAAACUCAACAAAAAAGCCCACUUUUGGCACCAGGCAAUCUAUUAAGAGAUGGUUUCAGAUCGAAAAGUAAUUUUGAGCCGCUGCAGAGACAGAUCAACUUAAACAGGAAUUGGUGGUAAACUUUUUCUGGAGUCCAGCAGUUAAAUGCAAAGGCAGUUUAGAGGUUUUGGAUUAUGUCUGUCUACCAUGACAACGUAUGAUUGCCCAUGUCAGCACAGCGCCUCAAGAAACGUCGCAUUAUAAAUCAUGAACGUGUCCAUAGCAUUUGUACAACUCAUUGCGAACACUACUGGUUGCAAUUUGUAGUGCAUUAAGUGGAGCACCAACUAGUGAUUGCAAUGUAGACAGAGAGCACUUAUUUAAUAUUGACUGAAAUGGAUUUUCCUGCGGUGACGCAAGAUGCUGCUGUCUGAUUCUGUGGCUGAGGCUGCAAUGUCAAAGUACGACGGGGUUGAACUCCUGCAUCUCAGCACCGAGGAUUUGUAGUGAGUGUUUUACACAUUUAUGUAAUUCAUUGUUUGCUGAAUGGUUCUUUUAAAUUUCUUUUGUCUCUAGCUAGAAAGCAUCUUUAGGAACAAAAAAGUGUAUGUUUCAAAAUAGUUGUUCUUCUCACAUAUUUGCUGAUCUCUGUAGUAUGUUCCUAGCCAACUGGGUAUACUAAAAUUUCCUGGGGGCAUGGACCCCUACCACUUGGAUCAAAAUGUAUAAUAUUUCAAAUACAAUGUUGAUUUUCAAUACAUGCUCAGCACACACAAAUAUUAAGGGGAGGCCCUGUCACUAAUAUUUUUCUUAAGAAAAUCUGCAAUAAGAUUUUAUGCUAUUUGUGAAACCCUUAAUUUUCAGAUCCAGUAACAAAUUAGAUAUACUUAUAAAAACUAAUAAAAAUAAUUACUUUCUAGUUUUACUAACAAAUGAAAACCAACAUUCAAUCUCUUCAUCUCAAGUGGCAAAAGGAAAGCAGUUGCAUCAAUUCAGUGGAACCAUGUACUUUGUGCAUACUGCCUCUUUCAGUGAGACUCGCCUGUUUUGCAGGGAGCUGGCUAGGAAAAUAGAGGAGGGCUACCACAUGAGGAUGGACCCAGCCAUGAAAACGUCAUAUUUAAUUCUCUUUUACUUCCUCUUUUAAUUUACUUUUCUAUUCUAUUCUUUUUUUUUUUUUUAAGAUAAAAGCCACGCACACCACAACUGUAUUUUGCCCUUUGGUAACCAGAAACUGUAAUGCUCUGACAGCAACAUCUAUAUACCUAUAGGUAGGUGCAGAGGGCUGAGUUUGUCAAGAGCUGUGCUUUCACGAAGGAAAUGGGAUCUCCUACUGAGCCAGCUGCCAAGUAUUGGCUCCUGUCUUUUCUUGCCUUCACAGCCUGGCCAUUGUUCACUGGCUAAAAGCACAGAUACUAUUGCAGGAUGCUAUUGCAAUUCCACAUGCAUGCAAAAGCAAGUAAAACUAGAUUAGGCAACAUUAGUAGUGUGCCAUUUGUGAGAUGUAACAUCCUGGCCUUGUUCCCUUCCCUGCACUGUCAGUGACCCCGUGCCUCUGCCUUUAGAGUAGAGAAGUUCUGCAAUAUCUCUGCUCCAACAGUAGGGAAUUAGAGAGGCAGAGCUGGGUUGCCCUCCUCCCCAGUUAGUGGCACCUCUCUCUCAGCCAAGAACUGUAGAAUUUCAAAGCCCCCAUGUAAAUGUAACUCUCAGGAACAGAGAAUGAGCCUGAAUAAGUGGGAAUAAGUAAAUAAAUGGCACUGAAGCUCAGCAUGACAGGAGAUGGACAGUUACUGUCACCAGCAUUAGCAUCUGCUAUGGUCUCCAUGGUACAGAAAUGCACCCAAUAGCAGAUUUUGGCCUACAACAUGAGCUGGGGGAUGAAGAAGGGGAAGGUUGGUGCUGGGGAAAAGAUGGAUAGCUAUUCCAACUUCCUGAUGUCCAACCUACUCACUGGGACUUCCAUAGGCUUAGUGAGAUUGUGGUAGAAGGCAGGUACAUUACCUACAGCAUUAUCUACAGUCUGCAUAGGUCAAUUAAAUCAUACUUUAUUAAAGCUCAGUCUACCACAGGUAAAAAAACGCUUUAAGUAGAAAACAGAAGUAGUUUAACAGCCUGAAUUUGUGGCAAUGAUUAUGAUAAGUUUUUAUAACAGGCACUGGUAGGUCCUCUUUAUAAAAGCCCUAUUCGGAGACAACCUUAAGCACAAGUUUAGGUACUCUCCUACUAUGUGCUUGACUACCAGGAGAAUUUAAAAAGACCUGUUUAAUACUGAGCUAAUUUUUGGUGUUUUCUUGGCUUUUCUUACUUUUCCAUUAUUCGCUCAGACCAACAAAGUUGAUUCAUCUCAGCUUGAAUUCUAGAUCCCUUUCUACAUAUUAUUUAAAAUUUCAAAAACAGCAAUUGAUGCAACAUCACAAUUAAUUUAACUACCCAUUUCUAGCUUGGAGCAUCUUAUAUUAUGUAUAAAGAAUCAAGAUAAAAAUCAGCUCAGAAUGUAGAACGCAGGGAACUGUACCCUAGACAAUACUUGCUUCUCACACACUAAAUCCUUGCCAUUGCUUUCGUGCUGGUGGGACCACCGGUUUCUCCUUGCCCAGUCACCACAAUUUCAGGAUUAAAGCAAAAAUCCCACUGCUCACUUCUUUGAAAGUUGUUAAACCUUUGCCCCACAGGAGGUGACUCUUCACAAGGUAGGACUUUAUGUUUUAGAAACAUCACUCUUGAGAACCACGUCAUGGUGCAGAGUAAGAGAUCACAAAUAGUUCAUUUCGCCUGGGUGGAGGCAACAACAGCUUUUCUAUUUUUACAGUUGCAGUGAUAAAUUAUUCUGAUCAUCUACCCUGAAUUAGCUAAUAGAAAUAGGAAAACAAACAAACAAACAAACAAAAACCCAACUCAUGUAAGGCUCUUUAUUUAAAAGCAAUCUUCAGCUUUGCAGAUUUACUUAGGACACUUCCUACUACUUCAGCUGAAGCCAUGUAGCCAGAAAGGAAGCAAUUUGCAGCGCUGAAGUCACUCUUCAAAUGUUAAAUGAAGAAAAGGUUGGAAGAGUUUUAUUCUAAAAGGUGCAUCUCACACAGGAUCAGAUACUGUUGCCAUGGCUGGCUUCCUUAUUGCAUUGAGUAAAUCCAUAUUUGAUGCAUUAAGGAUGGAUUGGGUUACUCCUAAGUAGAAGUAGGUCAAACUAUCUUUAAGCCACAGAUCCCUCACUCAUACAUAGGACUGAAGAAAGCACUAUAGAUUCUUUCUUAUUUUUUUUUUAAAUCUUAAGCAUGUUCAGUUGCAGGGCAGUUCAUAAAUUAACUUGCAGUUAAUGCAUAAUGCCAUCUAGUGGAAAAAUCAACAAGUAUGGAUGCAACAAGUUUGUCUAUAUAUCCCAUGAAAUGUAAGUCUAAUCAAUGUCACAACCACUUCUCAGUUUUAAUAUUGAUUUAAAUGUAAAGCAAAAGAACUAUAGCUUAAUUUUCAAAACCUCCAUAAGAAAAGAUCAUCACCUAAUUUAAAUAUAUUCCAAAGACAUUUUAUCCCUAAAUGCAAGAUAUGCAAAUCUUGAUCUCAGUGAACUUAUAUACGUAAUGACUGUAGGCUAUGAAACAGACCUUGGAAGUACCUAGAUUUUCUUUUCUGUUUUAAUUUUACUUAAGGAUUGAAUCUCUUGAUCAAUAAAAUGACACCCAUUUCAAGCUGGUAAAGGAGAGAAUUCAAAGAAGUUUGCUGAUAAACCAGCCAGAAAAACCUGUGAUUCUGGAGAGUUUAAGAAUGAAUGAUCCUCAUCUGCAGAACUAUGAAGUCACUUUCCUGUGCCCAUAAACAAAUAAAAGUCAGAAAGAAGAUAGCGAAAAAGUGCCUAAAAAUCAAAUUUAUACAAUCUAAAGGAAAUAGGCUAGUCAUAAAAAGAUUAGAGUAAGUGGCCAAGAGAAGCUACUCGUAUCAGAUAAGUAAUAUACUCCAAUAAUAGUCUUUCUCAAAUCAACAUGAAAGGAACAAUGAAAGUGGAGUAGGCCAUCCCAAUUUUAUCCUUCAGAAAAGCAUAGCACCUGACAUUUAUUGGUGAAUUAACACAGUCUCUAAACCUCUGCACAUUUUGUGUCAACCUAUUUUGAUACUGUUUAACUUAGAAUUUACUAGGUGAAAGCUUACAAAGCCGCUGAUCUUUAUAUUGUCUGAAUCUUACAAAUGUAGACAUGAAGGACCCCGUGGAGAUUGCUUACUUCAGCUCUUGUCUCUGAGAAGGACCAUUAGCACCCCUACACGUGCUCAAAUGUGGUUGUAAGUGGAUUUUUUCUAGCUGAAUUUAGAAAUCCUCCAGUGAAGAAGAUUCCACCACCUCUCAGUAAACAAUUUUACAACUGCACUAAGAUCAUAGUGAAGAGUAUUUUGUAACGUCCCAUUUUAACCUCUCAAGCCACAGCUUUUGACCAUUGCCCCAGGUAAUCCAUUCUUACAUUUCUGUUUAUUAUUUUCCCCCCUUAGUUUUGAAAAGAAUACCGAGACAGUUUCUUAAGGAAGGGAAAAAGAACAAGCAGUUCUACUGAAGAUGUAAAACAGACUUUGGUUAGAAUAAUAGUGGAAAAAACGUGCCUAUGGGGAUGAAAUGACUGGGUGUGUGCAAGCUUUCUAACACAACAGUGUGAAAAUUAAGUUAAACAUCUGUGUCUAUUGAAGUGUAGCUGAAUCCUCAUACUGAAAAUUCAUGUAGUCUUGAUAGUGAAGAAGAAGCUGUCUGUUACUAUAUAAUUGCACAGCCCUUUAUUUUUAGGGCACCAUUGACAGCUUUACAGAAAAUCUGAAAAAGGCAGAAAAUGAAUUUUGUCAUAAUCUGACUAAAUGAUAUGACUGACACCUCCCUCUUCCUUUUUGGUUAUAGGACAAUUUCAUUGUGGCAGAUGUUAAAAAAACUCACUGACAUUUCCAACUCCAAACUGCAAUUGCCUUUACAGUUUAAUUCUACAGGUUGCUUAAAAUGACGUUCCUAGUUAAGGUGCGAUUAACCCUUUCCAUUCUACAGAGAAAAGUGCUUCUUCAGCUUACACGGAAGCUAUUCUUCCUUGUAAAAUUAGAAAAUGCUGACAGUCAUGUGAAACUCCAUACUGCUGCUAGAAGCAAUAUAAAUAUUUCAGUAUGCUUAUUAAUGAAUAAGCUUAUUAACCAAUUACCAUCAUCUUAUAUGAAUCCAGUAUUCACUGGAUUAUUCACUAGACAGAUGUCAAUAUCCACAGCAUAUUUCAUGAUGCUAGAUCAAAUAGACCCAGUGUUUUUGCUACUGCUACACACGAAAAAAUGUUUAACUGCAAUGGAGAAGAAAUUUUUGAAUUCCACAAAAAAUGACUCCCAUUUAUUCUUACCAGAAGAAUGCAGUGAAUUUUGCAAUUUGUGCUCUUAAAAUUACAUAAGGGAUCGCCACUGUCUUCUAUUUUUCCCAUUGCCCACUCAACCUUUUACCAAAUAAGAGAAAUCAUGAAUAUAUUGUGAAGAUCAAGGAUGCAGAAACCUAUUAAAAUUGCUCCAUAUGCUGUUGACAUGGCUUUUGCUUAGCCCAAUAAUAUUCCAAAAAUCAGUACCCGAAAAAUUUCACAAUUUUAUCUACACUGUCUGACAUGAAAAUUAAAUACUCAAACCCCAGUUGCAUGCCAGGACUCAUGAAACGAAUUCUUCUUCCUUCCAACAUAAAAGCAGAAACAAAGCAAAACAAAAAACAUAAGUGGGCAACAGCUUCCAGUGCGUUCCUGGGAGACUGAUCUCCAUAAAAAAUCGAGAAGAAUUAGAUGACUUCAAAAACCUGAUGAUAAAAAAACCAAAAAACCCAAACCAGAACACCUCCUGCCCCCACAAAAAAUCCUCAGACUGGGACAAAAUAGAAUGAAUGUAAUUUCCUGUUUAUGAAGAACAAUAAAUUUGUUUUUUCAAAAUAUUCAUGUUGGCUGUGGCUUACACUCUAUUUUCAAACACUUUCUGUAAUCAUCCUAUCUAAAUACUCAAGUGGAAAUGAGCAGAACUCUGUUUACAAUUUACUUGGCAUAAGAAAAAUAUAAAAUAUAUUUUUCCAAUUUCUUAAACAAUGUGGAUUAGGUAUUCAAAACAAUACAUAAAUAUUAUACUAUUACCUUGGUAUAGAUUAGAGAAAAGGUAUUUCCUCAAAGAGACACUGUCUUUUGGUUAAAAAAAAAAAUAUAUAUAUAUAUACAGAAAGAUAAAAAUUAACAAUUCUUUUGCAGAUGCCACAGGUUUGCAAGGAAUAAGAUUUUAAUCCAAGUCACAAUUCAGAGAGUUUAAAAGACUGGAAAAGCAAAUAGGUGUAGGUUGAAAUCCAUUACACAUAAAACACAACACAUUUAUUUUCCAGCACAGGUGAAUCCCAUAAGUAAAUGCAACUAGUCCCUUUUCUCAUGAAAUUCUUACCUUCAAGGCGGGUGUUAUCAUGUUUUAAAGAAUAUUUUCUGAUGCUUAAUGUUAAAGAUAUAAGCUAUACAUUUUUGAUAAACCCAUGGGUCCAGACUGAAUAGGAAACAAUUGUGUGUUUGUCUUUGCAUACAGAAUUCUUAAAAUUUAUGUCUGAGAUGGUGGGAAAAGGUCUCAGUAGACAGGCAUAUCAGAAGGAACGGGCACUGGCUUGGAAACAGGACAACUGCUCCAAUCUGUAUGUAAUAAAAACGUUUUGUAGCUUCUGUGGUUCACUUCAUCUGGGGUUUAAUCAUAUAAACUUCACGGAAAAUUGUGAAAGAUACUGGAGUUAUGCACAUAUGUUGGGUAUCUCUAGUCAUUAAGAAGCUUUUGGUAUGAAUUAUAAUGAAGAAAUUAUGAGUCACUGAAUAAGUUUAUUAGAAAAUUAUAAUGAUUCUACUCCCUAGGAAUUUCCUAGUUUUCUAUUCUUCUGUUCCUUGAUGCACAAAUGAAAUCUCAUCUGCUUAUGCUCAUGUCAUUUAUUAGGCUGUGGUUAGAAUCUCACUGGAAGAAGAAACAUCUCUCCACAUAGCAUAAGAAGCUCUAGAUUCACGUGAAGUUAUUAUAGAAAAAAUAAUACAACUGAAACUUAGCAGCAAAGAAGAAGGAAGCCUUUUAAUUAAAUAUCGGGUUGUCUCCUCUUUAAACUCAGUUCUCUUUCCUUUCUGUCCCUCUUGUGUACUCGUGAAUAUUAUCAGUGAAAUACUGCUACUACCGCCAAGUCAGCCAGUUUCACUAGGUUACAUACAAACUGGAAACAAAGUGUCUUCAGUGAUACAACAUGGCUGGGAAUGGAGGCAUGCAAUCUUUCACCACUGAGCAGCGUUUAUCUGGGCAAAACACUAAGUUUUGUUUUUGUAGGUAAACCUUUGGUUUCCCGUACUUACACAGAACUUUUAACUCCGAUUUAAAACAGCUUUCAAAAUAGCCUGAAGAUGGAAGAUGACCACUGUGAAGAAUCUGUUUCAAGAGCUUUUGACUACUGCAAGAGGAUGUAUUUUGCAUGGUGGGCUUUCAUUCCUCCUUUGUUGCCACAACGGCUUUUAUUAAUGCUGGUGGCUCCUGCUAGCUUGGGCAUUUUGUGUAAAUAUGAUCCUGCACCAUCAUAUAGAGGAAGAGUACGUGCUUAUGUGAGGUGUCAUCAAUUACCUACCAAGGUCAUGCAUGCUGUAUUCCCUGGGAAUCCUAUUAUAGGCACUCUUUCAUAGCCUGAAGGAAGUUAUCAAAUUAUCAUAUAUAUAUAUAUUUAAAAAUAACAUUCUGGUUAUAUUUAAUGCAAGAUAAUAUUCAGUCUAAAACUAUGGAAGUAAGUACUGCACGAGAUGGUGAAGAGUCUAUAAAAAGAAAAUAUUAGGUUCAAUAAAAGAAGUCUGUGAAAUACAGAAUCUAGAGGAUUUCAUCACUGAAGAUACAUAUUUCACUUAUUAAUUUUAGUAGAGAAGUGUUUAAAUGGUGAGAACGAUCUGAAGCAUCUCACCAUUUCAUGCACACAGCUGAACUGGGGUGCUAUUACUUCCUGCUGUAGUUCCACGAAGGACACACUGAUAAAAGUAAGAAGUGAACGCUGUCUUUUAAAUGUCAGGCAUAAGACCUCUGCUAGACCAAACUAAAAAACCAUCCUGGCUCACACUGCCAGAAAACAAGCCAUUUUUGUGUUUAGGAUGUGUAUGAAACAUGGGCCUGAAAACAAAAUGGCUAAUUGUAUUGACAGAAUUGUAUUGCUCUUAUGUCUUUAAAUAUACUAAAACAUAAUCACUAGGCAGGCUGACCAACUCUUCCCUAAUAUGCAAGAGGGCUCUCAAUUUAAGUGCUGCACUCAAGAUGUUGGUCAGUAUGGAAUACUGACUAAUUAAUGUUAAUGAAAUGAAGAAAACUUUCUUCUCAGAAGCUUCUGGGUGCACCACAACGUUCUGCUUGUUCAGGUGGAAACAUUUGGGUCAGUAGUGUUAACAAGAAAAGGAAAUACAGAAAGUCCACAAUUUUCAGAAAGAGAAAUGAACAUGUAAUACAUCCAAAUUCCACGCAGAUUGAAAAGGAAUGAGAAAUGUUCUGCACUCAUACAGUGCUGACUGAAAGACAAGGACCUAUUUCACUACUGUCGCCCAUUGAUUCCACUCUCACUCUACAUGAUACAGUAGCAUCGUAUUCUUUGUGCCUCUUUGCACCAUGGUACUCUUUGCUGUGCCAUAACAGGUGAAUGGUAGUAUGGGAAAAAUGUUUAAAUGAAACAAAGAGAUUGUAACUCAGGAAGACAGACUACUGUGCUGCCAAGAGAUGGCUCAUUUCCUCAGGAGAGUGUCUACCUCGGAAAAGAGAAAACAGAUGGACCUAACCCAAAUUUUGUCAAAUAUAACAAAUUCUGUGAAUGCUGGGAGAUAGAGUGGGCCUGAAGGAAAAGUCACAAACCUGAGAGUGAUUUUUCCUUUAUUUAGAAGAACGAAGGAGGAAGGUUAGAAAGGAAGAAAGAACGAACCACCACCACCACAAAUAACCGCAGCAAUCCCAGACCACAGACAAUCCAGAUGAAAAAAAACAGGAGUUCUCUUCGUUGUUUCUGGUUGCUGUGGUGCAAGAGACCUCCAUUUUAUUUGGAGCCACCUUUUUAUGGAAGCCAAAAUGCUAUGGAAAUUGCAGGCGGUUCCAGCAGAGAACAAAAUUCUGCAAGUGUGUAUUAAUCUUGCAGCAGCUGCAGUAUUUGGCAUGGCAUCAGUCUACUUAGACUGACCCCAGGGAAAUGGUUUCUUUCCUUUUAUUUUGUUGUUUUUGUUGUUCAUAUCCAACAAGGGGAUGUUUGAGGGGCCAACAAAUAAUAUUAUAUAAUAAUUAUGGUCAGGCCUUUUUCUCUUAAUUGACUUGGCGUACACACUUGCUACACAAGAAGUACAACAGGGCUGGAAAAUUGGACUCAGGCCUUUAAGCCCCUAACCCUACUUCUUUAUCCAGUGGAAUAUACUUUGGAUGAAGGAGCUGUCAUGAGAAAUAGGAGGCAGUGCUGGAAAGGAAAGCAGCUUCCAGCUUCUAAGGUAUGGUAGUCGUUCUGAUUUUUCAUAGUGAGCUAAUACAAAUAAUUGUCUCAUCAGAAAGCCUCUCCAUUGUGGAGCUGAGUAAAGUAGUGAAUUUGUAUUUGUUAAAGGCUGAGUACAUCAUUUCUCACGUGAGGCCAUGUCUCAAAGUACUGAAAAGAGUAAUUUAAAAGAAACACUAAUAUUCUUUGCAAGCCUCAUAUUCUUUGCUAUAGCAUGAACACUAUAGCAUUUAUCCAGAGACAGCUGCAGACCCUGCCAGUCAGAAAAAAACAGCAGCUGAGAACAUCUAAAAAAAGAAAAAGGAAUAUCUCAAAGUUGAAAAUCUUGGUGAGGUCUUCCUGGCUCCUUCUUUCCCCCCCCUCAAAUCAUUUGGAAACCUACUGCUUUCGCUCCCUUGUAAAGAAGCUGAAUUAGGAAUCUCCAAGCCAUGAUUUCUGGAAGUUAUAAGAAUGCUAAAGUAUCUCAGGGAGACUUACAGAAAGGAGAUAUUGUUCGAUGAGAGUCACUAGUCUGUCUCUCAUUUAUGCAAGGAAUGGACACAUCUCCCCAGAAGAGAAAGGAUCCUGCAGUAGUUGCAUUAGGGAGCAUUAAACCCAUGGCAGCAUUUCAAGGGACUGCAUGAACUCUACAUGGAAGCAUGCCUCCCAGAAGUUAGUCAAAGAUUUUGUGUCCCUGCCAGAUCCUGAAAAGUGAUUUGGCCCCAAUCCCUUGUCUCUCACCAGGCUACAAAACUGGUUCUGCUCAUUUAAGGAUCCUCAUUUCUUUACAAACACCUUUUAAGUGACAGAGGGAAGUGACAAUUACUUUGAGCAAAAAAAAGAAGGCAUUUCCUACCUUUCAUUCAUAUCUUACAUGCAUACACGUACAGAUCUUUCCUCAUUUCUAGGAGAUUCAAAUGUCACCAAACCUUAGAGAAUAGCCCAUAAAGAAAAACAACACAUUCAUUUUGAAGAAUUAAUAGUUUCCAACCUCUCCCAACUAAGCCCAAACUCAAAAAAAUUCCCACAAAAUAACUCACUUGUGUUAGCUUGUGCAGGCGAGAACCUCUUUUGACAGGAACAACACAUAGACACUUAGCACUACAGUAUCCAUUACACAAGGGAAAAGAAAGCUACCCUAGGUAUUCUUUACAUUCAUAUUUGUGCUGAUCCAUCUAGAAGAGCAAGAGCCAUGGGAUCACAAAGCAGGGUAGGAUAGCUAAGGGUGAAGAUGAAAGAAGCCUUAAGACGUCAAUAAUAUUUCCUAGGUACAGCAAACUAUACACAAAGGAAUCGAGAGAUUACAUAAAGAGCAAACACCAAUUCUUCUCACCAUGAUAGCCAACCCUAUUCUAAAAGGUUGGUUACCUGAACACCAGCCAUUUUCUAAAAAAAACAGCUGAUGUAACUUUCCCCAUUGUUUACUCUUAUUUAAUUUUUCAAAUAUUAAUGUUUUAAAAUAUAUCUGAAAUGAUUUUGAAGACAACCAUACAGGAUCAAAAGGCUUUUUAAGGAAAAAUUAAGCCAUUAAGCCAUUGUAAUGUUCCACAAACCAUUCCCAAAUUGGCAUUCCUAAAGCAUCACAAAAACUUUUUUUAAGGCAAGAUUGACAGUUUAUAAAAUCAUGUUCCUACGUUUGCAUAAAUAUUAGUUUCCCACCAGCCUUUCCAUACUCCCCAAAUCUGCUGAUUUGUCAAGAGAGAAAGACAACCUCAUCUUUAUUUAACAUAAUAGAGAUUAUAUACAUAUAUAUCUGUGGAGUACUUGGGCUGCAAUGCCUAAUGGCCUUCUGAUGUUUUCCUAGAUGCAAGUCAAAGCACAAUGUGGUUUCAAAAUGUAUCUGCAUGCUACCGAGCACACAACUGGGAGCUGUGCUAGCAUGGAAAUUGCUUCUGUUUAUUUGCACCUCUCGAUUUAGUCAUUAGAAACCAGCAGAGAAGAAGAAGAAGAUAACAGUUCUGGCACGGAUCUAUCAGUAACAUUUUCUAUUUUUUCCACUUCUAUUCUCCCAAGGUUUUUUUUUUUUCCCUCUAUUCUGCAGCCCUGGGAAGGGCAGCCGAGAGAACUGGGAACACCUCUGGGGGCCAGCAAGUCUCCAGCUCCAAUCUCACUCUCCCACGAGACCACUGUAUCUUUCAGGGCCGGUUUUAGCCUAAUGCUGUUAAUAAAGGACUAUCAGUGCA